rnacentral:lncRNA from 1 species
GUGGACUAUAAUGCUACAUUCCUUCUGUUAUCAGCUGAAAUUUAUUUAGCAAAUAAUCAAGUUAAUAAAGCGUUCGUGUUACUCAAGGAAAGCAAUAUAAUAAGUUCAAAUCGUCAAGAUUGGAAUGUCCUAAAGAUCAAAAUAAUAAUUAUGAACCUAUAG